rnacentral:rRNA from 1 species
GACGAACGCUGGCGGCGUGCCUAAUACAUGCAAGUAGAACGCUGAAGAGAGGAGCUUGCUCUUCUUGGAUGAGUUGCGAACGGGUGAGUAACGCGUAGGUAACCUGCCUUGUAGCGGGGGAUAACUAUUGGAAACGAUAGCUAAUACCGCAUAACAAUGGAUGACACAUGUCAUUUAUUUGAAAGGGGCAAUUGCUCCACUACAAGAUGGACCUGCGUUGUAUUAGCUAGUAGGUGAGGUAACGGCUCACCUAGGCGACGAUACAUAGCCGACCUGAGAGGGUGAUCGGCCACACUGGGACUGAGACACGGCCCAGACUCCUACGGGAGGCAGCAGUAGGGAAUCUUCGGCAAUGGGGGCAACCCGGACCGAGCAACGCCGCGUGAGUGAAGAAGGUUUUCGGAUCGUAAAGCUCUGUUGUAAGUCAAGAACGAGUGUGAGAGUGGAAAGUUCACACUGUGACGGUAGCUUACCAGAAAGGGACGGCUAACUACGUG